GGUGAACAGGUAUGAUUGAUGGGAGGGAAAAUCGUAGCCAUUGUUGAGCACAGGAUCGAAUGGCUGGGGUGACGUGACGUUUCGUUACCCAAAAGCGUUCUGAGAGCUUAAACCCCUUCGCUAAUCGAAGACGCUCGGGGCUUGGGGGGCUUGUGUAGUGGUGGAAGGUCGGUUGAGUCGGCCGGAUCAAGAGUGCUGGAGGAAGACCGGUCGGCCAGAUUGCCAAAGUCACAAGGGGCAAAGGCGGCN
rnacentral:lncRNA from 1 species